rnacentral:rRNA from 1 species
UAUCUCUGUAGAGUCUGCAUAUCAAUAAGCGGAGGAAAAGAAACUAACAAGGAUUCCCUUAGUAACGGCGAGUGAAGCGGGAAGAGCUCAAAUUUGAAAUCUUCAAGGUUCUACCUUGACGAAUUGUAGUUUAAAGAAGUGUUUUCUGUUAGAUGAGUAGCAAAAGUUCCUUGGAAUGGGACAUCAUAGAGGGUGAGAAUCCCGUAUUUGGUUAUUCAUUCUAGCUUUGUGAUACACUUUCAAAGAGUCGGAUUGUUUGGGAAUGCAGUCCAAAAUGGGUGGUAAAUUUCAUCUAAAGCUAAAUAUUGGCGAGAGACCGAUAGCGAACAAGUACCGUGAGGGAAAGAUGAAAAGAACUUUGAAAAGAGAGUUAAACAGUACGUGAAAUUGUCAAAAGGGAAGCGUUUGACACCAGUGUUGUUUUUCCGAAAAUCAAUUACGAAUGGCUUGAUUCUGUGUUGUAUUGACCUUAUCAGCUUUCUUCACUUUUUUCGAGUCUUUCUUAAUGCACUUUUCGGUUAACAAGUCAACAUCAAUUUCUUUUGUUGUAAAAGAGUAUUCGGAAGGUGGCUUUCUUUUCGGAGAAAGUGUUUAUAGCCCUAUACUUCUACAAUCGGAGAGAUUGAGGUCUGCAGCGUAGAUCCUUCGGGGUUAGAUACACUUGUGCUAAGUUGUAGCUUUUCAUAGAUAACUUGUUGACUAUGUUUAGUCAUGCGGCUUACUCGCUUGUGCUAUUUUACCUACGCUUAGGAUGUUGACGAGACUGUCGAUCUC